GAUGAACGCUGGCGGCGUGCCUAAUACAUGCCAGUCGAGCGAACAGACGAGGAGCUUGCUCCUCUGACGUUAGCGGCGGACGGGUGAGUAACACGUGGAUAACCUACCUAUAAGACUGGGAUAACUUCGGGAAACCGGAGCUAAUACCGGAUAAUAUAUUGAACCGCAUGGUUCAAUAGUGAAAGACGGUUUUGCUGUCACUUAUAGAUGGAUCCGCGCCGCAUUAGCUAGUUGGUAAGGUAACGGCUUACCAAGGCGACGAUGCGUAGCCGACCUGAGAGGGUGGUCGGCCACACUGGAACUGAGACACGGUCCAGACUCCUACGGGAGGCAGCAGUAGGGAAUCUUCCGCAAUGGGCGAAAGCCUGAAGGAGCAACGCCGCGUGAGUGAUGAAGGUCUUCGGAUCGUAAAACUCUGUUAUUAGGGAAGAACAAAAGUGUAAGUAACUAUGCACGUCUUGACGGUACCUAAUCAGAAAGCCACGGCUAACUACGUG
rnacentral:rRNA from 1 species